GACGAACGCUGGCGGCGUGCCUAAUACAUGCAAGUCGAGCGGACAGACGGGAGCUUGCUCCCUGAUGUUAGCGGCGGACGGGUGAGUAACACGUGGGUAACCUGCCUGUAAGACUGGGAUAACUCCGCGAAACCGGGGCUAAUACCGGAUGGUUGUCUGAACCGCAUGGUUCAGACAUAAAAGGUGGCUUCGGCUACCACUUACAGAUGGACCCGCGGCGCAUUAGCUAGUUGGUGAGGUAACGGCUCACCAAGGCAACGAUGCGUAGCCGACCUGAGAGGGUGAUCGGCCACACUGGGACUGAGACACGGCCCAGACUCCUACGGGAGGCAGCAGUAGGGAAUCUUCCGCAAUGGACGAAAGUCUGACGGAGCAACGCCGCGUGAGUGAUGAAGGUUUUCGGAUCGUAAAGCUCUGUUGUUAGGGAAGAACAAGUGCCGUUCAAAUAGGGCGGCACCUUGACGGUACCUAACCAGAAAGCCACGGCUAACUACGUG
rnacentral:rRNA from 1 species